rnacentral:lncRNA from 1 species
GGCACAAGGUGUUGGUGAGUGUUUGAAGGUUUGUUUGUAUGGAGGAAUGGAUGUGAAGAUGAAUGGAUGUGGUUGGAUGAAGGUUGUGUUGAAAUGGAAGUGAAUGAUCUAACAAAGUAUGAACUCAAUUUAUGUUACACACACUUCCUUUUAUAGAGGAAGUGCAAGGCAAAGCAUGGGUAAAAUGGAGUGGUGUUGAAAUGAUUCAAAGGUGAAAGUGAAGUAAUGAUGCAAAGCAUGGGUAAAAUGGAGUGGUGUUGAAAUGAUUUAAAGGUGAAAGUGAAGUAAUGAUGCAAAGCAUGGGUAAAAUGGAGUGGUGUUGAAAUGAUUCAAAGGUGAAAGUGAAGUGAUGAUUGAUGCAAGAAUUAAACAUGGAUGGAGUGCACGGCAAAGGUUUGUUAUGGUACAAGGAACCCUUAAUUUGUGUCCUAAAAUGCAUAGGAAACCUUCAAUGUUGCUGGAACUUAGGGACAUUUAGGAUUUAGGAAAGAUCAAACCAAAAUAGGAAACCUUGGCUUAACUUUCCUACUUCAAGUAGGAAUCCUCAUCUUUAGGUCUUCAAUUUCGUCCAUUCCUUUAAUUCCAAGCAUGUGAUAUUUAUUCCAAGCCCAAAAUUGCUCCAAAAGGCUCCAAAAUGCACAUUUUUGCAUACUUUGUCCUUAGAACCAGAAAUUGCACA